rnacentral:rRNA from 1 species
AGUACUCGAGUGGCGAACGGGUGAGUAACACGUGGGUAAUCUGCCCUGCACUCUGGGGUAAGCCUGGGAAACUGGGUCUAAUACUGGAUAUGACCUUUCUCCUUAUGGGGUUUGGUGGAAAGUUUUUCGGUGUAGGAUGAGCCCGCGGCCUAUCAGCUUGUUGGUGGGGUGAUGGCCUACCAAGGCGACGACGGGUAGCCGGCCUGAGAGGGUGAUCGGCCACAUUGGGACUGAGAUACGGCCCAG